AUAUAUAUAUAUAUAUAUAUAUUCCUAGAAAUCUGAUAAGGUAAAAUCCUUCCUCAACAUAUGUGUAAUUCUAAAAUAUCUUUUUUCGUUCAUGAAGAGCACCAUCCUCUAUGGCAGCACAAGACUGGAGAUAUAGCAAAAAUCAGAAAGACAUUUUCUCAAAAGGAUAAGCAGACAAGGUACUUGGGACCAGAAGGAAGGAUCUUUAGACAGAAUAGUAUUCCCUGUUAAGAAAAUCUCUGAGGUGGCGGCUCCAGGUAAGUAUUCUAACAAAAAGGAGCACCUCUCUUUUACAGUCAACCCGUGAUACUUACAACAGAAGCCAGUCAGAAAGGUUGGGGAGCUUACGUAAACCACCAUCUUGAAUCAAGGAAGAUGGGAGCAUCAGAUGAAAGAACUUCAUGCAAAUUCCCUGGAUUUGGAGGGCUCUCCUUUCAUUCAAGUCCCAGAUAAAUGGGCAAUUUUUUUUUAGAUCUAAACAGACAAUAUCUUAGCAGCAUGCUAUAUAAAGCACCGGGAAUGAACAAGGCGCAAAUACCUUAUACUAAGGAUUCAAAAAGUAUUUUCAUGUGCUAAGGAAAACGUUCUAGGCUUGCAGGCAAUAAUACAUAUAAGAGAUGUAACAAACUCUUAGGCAGACAACCUAGAUCAGAGAGAUAUACAUCCAGAUGAAUGGGAUAAAAAAAUUGUGCUUGCUGGAGCGUGCCUCAGGUAGAUUUGAUGGCCUCAAGACAACACUGCAAAUUGCCAAAGUCUUUUUUCCCUGGGACAAGGGGAAAUGGGGAUAGAUGCACUUACAAAUUCAUGGCCCUUGAUACUGGCUUAAGUGUUUCCCCCUCUACCUAUGAUACCAACAGUAAUAAGGAAACACAGCACAAUUGUACUCGAAUUCUAAUUGCUCAAGCAUGGGCAUGCAUGGUUUCAAGACCGUGUCCAGCUCUCAAUAGCUACUCCAUGACAAAUGCCACAGACACAGGACCUUCUCCUGCACGGUCUGAUUUUUAUCCAAAUGCCUUUCAACUACAUUCCUGGAAAAUGAGACGGACGUGAUGGUUGCCUUGGCGGUGUCCUCUGCGGUAACUGACACUAUUCUGCACAGCAGGAAAAAAACACUAACUAUAUACAGUAUUUGAAGGAAUUUGAAAACAGUGGUAUACACAACAUUAUGUUCUUCCAGAAUAAGCCCAAAUUGCUGUUAUUUUAGAUUUUCUACAGGAAUGACUCUCCAAGAAUCUGGCGCCUAAUACAAUUAAAGUACAAGAGUCCGCUUUGGGAGUCCUUAGGUGCAAAGCCUUGGAGGAAAAUUUCCUCACAAGAAGGUUUGUGAAGACUAUUUCCAAUCUUAACCUGAACACCGGCCGUGUUUGUUUACCAAAGUGGGACUUAGGGUUAAUUCUAAAGGCUUUGUGUCAACCACCAUUUGAACCUUUGGCCACUUUUUCCCACCUGUCUAUGAAGACAGCCUUCCUAUUGGCCUUUGCAUCAGUCAAAAGGAUAUGUUAACAAGCUCUGUCCUGUAAAAAACAUAUUUUCAGGUGCUUCCAACGAAAUUACCAAUGACCAUGUUCAUGGCUUACAUUAAAGUUGGUAAACCAGUACCUGAAGAGCUAAAGGCACAUUCUACUAGGCAAUGUGCAACAUCUUGAGCAGAGCAUGCAAGCGUACCUGUGGAUCAAAAUUGCUGUCUGUAUGGACAUGGGUGAAAGAUAUGAUUUAUACUGAUUGUAAACCAAAGGCAGCGUGUUAUUUCCCACCAUAAAAAAACAUUAAUAAUAUGCUUGAAGAAAAAGCUUUUGGGCACAAAGUUUUCACACAGAGUGGAACUCGACAAAAAAAACCAAAACAUUUUGGUGAAUCCCCUAUCCUGACAAAGAGAACAUAUUUCUUGAUUCAGCAGAGACGAACAAUACACUAUUUUACUGGAAAACAUUGACAAUGAGGCCAGUUGUUUCAAUACCGUCUUGUGGUGACAGUUGAACCAUCACAAAAUAUGACAGAUUUGUAAAAAGGAUAGAUACAUAUCUGUCAUACUCACCUCCUCUGGGUUGGGAUUUAGUGCCAGGUUUUCCAGGGCUCCAAUAUUUGCCAUAACUGGAACUAUAACCAUCCCAGUCUGUUAAAAAAAAAAAAAAAAAGAGUAGCAUAUUUCUAGCAAGCACACAAGUCACUUGACUUAAAGGAAAACAAUUGCCC